GACCGAAUUGUCGCAUGACUCUUAGUGGCACGUAGGGAUGAACACCUCGGAGACCCAUUAAGACGAUGAAGGGUCAGAAAGUAGACAUAUAUAUCACCUCUUUUGAGGGGAACCAAUGAUAAUUCCACACUAUCUUGUCCGCCGUCAACCCCUCCAAGUACUCCUUCCAAGCUCUUAUUCCUUCGGGAAAAUUUUGGUCCUC
rnacentral:lncRNA from 1 species